rnacentral:rRNA from 1 species
GAUGAACGCUGGCGGCGUGCCUAAUACAUGCAAGUCGAGCGAACAGAUAAGGAGCUUGCUCCUUUGACGUUAGCGGCGGACGGGUGAGUAACACGUGGAUAACCUACCUAUAAGACUGGGAUAACUUCGGGAAACCGGAGCUAAUACCGGAUAACAUAUUGAACCGCAUGGUUCAAUAGUGAAAGGCGGCUUUGCUGUCACUUAUAGAUGGAUCCGCGCCGUAUUAGCUAGUUGGUAAGGUAACGGCUUACCAAGGCAACGAUACGUAGCCGACCUGAGAGGGUGAUCGGCCACACUGGAACUGAGACACGGUCCAGACUCCUACGGGAGGCAGCAGUAGGGAAUCUUCCGCAAUGGGCGAGAGCCUGACGGAGCAACGCCGCGUGAGUGAUGAAGGUCUUCGGAUCGUAAAACUCUGUUAUCAGGGAAGAACAAAUGUGUAAGUAACUGUGCACAUCUUGACGGUACCUGAUCAGAAAGCCACGGCUAACUACGUG